rnacentral:rRNA from 1 species
CCCUUAGAUGUUCUGGGCCGCACGCGCGCUACACUGUUCGACGCAGCGAGUCUUAACCUUGACCGAAAGGUUUGGGUAAUCUUCAGCAAAGUCGAACGUGAUGGGGAUCGAUCAUUGCAAUUAUUGAUCGUGAACGAGGAAUUCCUAGUAAGUGCAAGUCAUCAGCUUGCGCUGAUUACGUCCCUGCCCUUUGUACACACCGCCAGUCGCUACUACCGAUUGAAUGGUUUAGUGAGAUCUCUGGAUUGACGCUGGCUAGGGGGCGACCCUUGGCCAGACUGCUCGAGAAACUGCUCAAACUUGAUCAUUUAGAGGAAGUAAAAGUCGUAACA